AUGUCUUUAACAAUACAUAAUAAAAAUAAUACAAAUAUAUAUUUAUUUCGCUUUUUUCUUCAAGCUAAAAACAUCACUACACCUAGAGUCAACAUCCUACCACCUGCUCCAAAAGAGAUUUGUGACCAGGAAAAGAAAGAUAAAACUUUGGUUUGUUUAGCCACUGGUUUUUAUCCCGAUCAUGUCAGUGUGUCCUGGAAAGAAAAUGAUGAGGAGAGAAAGGACAAGGUGUCCACUAACCCCACAGCCCAACAAGACCAGGGCACAUUACUUUACUAUAUCAGCAGCAGAAUAAAAGUUAGGGGCACUGACUGGAAGAACCCUGAAAAUCGCUUUACCUGUAUUGUCCGCUUCUUUAAUGGAGAGAGGUAUCUGAAUUUCACAAAAACCAUAAGAGGACAAAAAGGUUUGAUCGAGUAUAGUUUAUUGAGGCAAUCAUUGCAAUUUACUGUUUUGGUUUCAUGUUUUUUAGUUAAUCCAAAGAUGCUAAAAACAAUUGGCUUUGGUUAUAUCCUGUUUCUUGCCAAGAGUGUGCUGUAUGCUCUCAUCGUGGCUGGUCUUGUGUGGAAACUCAAGUCUUCAAAACAGAAGAAACUAUCACCAGAGGACUAACUUUUUCUAUUCUUAUGGCCAUUAACAGGCUAAGUCUUUCUGACUUGUGAGAUUUGUGUAAUUUUUAUUUGAUAAUUUUUUUAUUCUUUCUUGUAAUUAUACUGUCUGUAACAGUGCUUUCUUCAAAUUCCAUUGUUAUCUUUUUCAUUAUUGUAAAAAAUAUACUAUAUUACAAAUAAAUAAAGUCCCAAAAUAGUGAAAA